UACUUCAUCUUCUUGAACAAGACAAAAAAAGCCCUAACCCAUCUCCUUCUUCAACCAAGACACAAGCAACCUUCUUCAACCAAGACACAAAAAACCAACAGUAACCAAAGAGACCCUAAAACCAACGGCCCCUGCUUCUGUCAACCAGCGAACAACCACCGGCCGCCGCUCCCACCAGCAAACACCCCUAAGCACACUCCAACAACAACAUCCGACACUCCUUCUUCUUCUUCACACCUUCAGAAGCAACUUACUCCAUCAGCAUAUCACCUCACAAAACAACCUGAAACAUACACACACAUAUACAAGAACAGAAAACAGAGGUAGGGAGCGAAAAAACAAAAAGGAAACGUGACAGAAUCUUGGAACGAGAAAUGAAAAAAUAGUUUGAAUUUAGUUCUUGGUUCAAGUUUUAUUUUCCAUUUUUAAAAAUCAGAAAACAAAAAAAAGUAUGAAAAUGUUUCCAUCCCUUUCCUUUUCAAUAUCGGAUUUCUAUUUCAAAAACGAAGUUUGAUUGAUACGAGGUCGAGCUGGUCUCAGUCGUCGUUCGGGAUCCGGUUCACGUUCUUGCUGAUUUGUUUUUCGGCUGCUACUCAAUUUUUGUUGCCGAAUUCUAUUGCUCUUCAUCCGGACAAAACUGUAAACUCGAAGCUUCUCUAAUCUGAAGGAAAUCUACUCAUUGAGGUAUGGAUUCAUUUACCAGGAUUUGAUCAUGACAAAUACCCCAGGACCAUUCUAGUCAAGACCAUUGCAUGCACGAGCUGCUUGAGGAAAUUUUUUAUUUUUUAGUCUAUUUUAUGUUGUCUUUUAAUUAUUAGUCUUGUACAGUAGUAUCGAGUCUGUCAGUCUAGUUAAGAUUGUCGAGUCUUUUGUUAUAGUACUUCCUUUUUUUUUGUAUUUGAAAAACCAAAAAAAGAGUUAUAAAUGGAAAAUCUAAAAGAUUUGUUUUAGUUUAUUUUAUCCAUCAUUUUUUUCCA